ensembl:lincRNA
GUAACGAACGCAAACACAAAUAGUCCUUUUACUCUCUUGCAACUCCCGUACACUUGGGACAAGACUUACGCACUUUGACACCAAGACGUCGUCUCCUUACAGGUAUUCUCAGAACUCACUAGGGAUUUUUUUUUCUUUCUUUCUUUCUCCUGCCACAGUUUCCCCCUGUCGGCCUGUUUUUCCUGGAAGCGACUGUGAGUACCAACCUUCUCUCCACCCACCGCCUGUGCUCAGCCCCACCGAGGGGCUCCGCUGUCAGGGUAGCAAGCAACCUUUGCUUGCUCAAUAAAUCUCGGUGGUCCCUCUCUGGUGGACCUGGGCUUCAGGUCAGGCCUCAUUUCAGGAAAUUGCUGUUAUGCUUGAACUUGAACGCACGACGGAAUACAGACUGCGGGUCCCGACAGAGGACGGCUUCUCCCUCUCCCAGCAUCAAACCGUGGUUUUCUUGGAACUCGAGUUAUACUAAGAAAAAGGCCCGGACGCCAUCAGAGAAAAACAGGCCACUUCCUCCGAGACACACGCGAAUGAGCAAGUCACCCUGUCCCCCAGGGGGACCCUGUCCCAGCAAAACAGCCCGGGGAGUUUUCACCUUUGCCACCGUUUGGUGGCCUGUUGCGCAGUGGGUAAUGAAAGGGAAACUUCCACAGAACCAAUGAAAGUAUUUUCACUGGAAAGAGGAAAGUUGUCUGAAUGUUGCGUUUACUUUUUUUCCUUCAUGAAAAGAAACACGCACGCGCACACACACGCAAAAAUAACCAGAAACUAAAUCAAAGCAAAACCCACGGAGAGAACUUCUGGUUGGUGUCCAGUCCCAGGGCAAAACCUUAAGCAUCCCAAUCGGUCCUUCAGGACAUGAAGGAAAGUAAGGGAAAAAAAAAAAUCCAUGAAAACAGACUCUAAUAAAGCAAUAUGUGUAACUGGGUCUCUACCCGUCGGGGUUGCAGCCAGGGUUGGUGGCACGUGUUUGAUAUAUGUGGCUUUCUCAAAAACGAGGAAAUCCUGUUCUACUAAACAAUUUCCAGUUGCCGUGGUUCUCAGAAAUCAAAUAGCAAUGACCAAAUAAAUCCUGCAAUAUUUUAGUAUGACUCUAAGUUAAAGUAGAAAAAGAAAAAAAGAAAGCUUUAAAGCACAAUCAGAAUCUUUAGCCUCAUGUAUCACUUGAUUCUCAGAUGGCAAAACGUGGCCAUCAUUUAUUUAAAAGGUCCGCCUCAACGUUCUUUGGCUCACAAACAUUUAUUUGAAGUCAUGCCGGUUCAUUUCUGUCAAAAUAUG